UACGUAGGGUGCGAGCGUUGUCCGGAAUUAUUGGGCGUAAAGAGCUUGUAGGUGGCUCGUCGCGUCGGGAGUGAAAACCCGCGGCUUAACCGCGGGCCUGCUUUCGAUACGGGCGGGCUAGAGUUCGGCAGGGGAGACUGGAAUUCCUGGUGUAGCGGUGGAAUGCGCAGAUAUCAGGAGGAACACCGGUGGCGAAGGCGGGUCUCUGGGCCGAUACUGACACUGAGAAGCGAAAGCGUGGGGGGAGCGAACAGG
rnacentral:rRNA from 1 species